UGAAUUUCUAAAACCUCACUCAUACCCCGGGUGCCUACAACCUUUAGCAAAGGUUUAAUCUCAAUUCAUCCUUCUCACAAGGUUCAUCUGUUGACAUAAUCGUCAUUAGAUAAACCUCAUGCUUAACUAUACUUUCAAUCUUUCGGGUCCUCACAUUCACCCCUUCUUCACAGAAUUUCGUCCUCGAAAUUUUAGCGUACCCUUCUUCUCAACUUCUCUUCAAAGAAGUUCUUAUCUUUCAUACAUUCCCUACCCUUCAUAACUUAUCAAGAAUAAUGGAGUGAAAGAAUAAAUAGGAAUUUAUGGAUUCCUUUAAAACAUUUCAUACUUUUGCUGAGGGGUCAAAUUGACCGUGAACUAUUACUAGGUUUAUCAGCAUUUCACCGUAAACCAUUCUUUCACGGUCAGUUUACAAUCACAAAGAAGAUAAACUACC
rnacentral:lncRNA from 1 species